CCACAAUUCGCUCAUUACACCACUCUCUUCACUACACUCCCAUUUUCUAUUAUUUUAAAAAAAAAUUCUUUUCUCUUCAUUACUCUGUAACCAGUCGAGAGGAACUGAAUGAUGCAUGAGAUUUGUUGAGGAGGGUUGAAAGAGAGAAAAAUUUAUUAGAUAUUCAGGUUGUACUUUAAGGUAUUUUUUGAAAUUUCGCUCAUAACACCAUUGUCUUCACUACUCCUUGCAUUCUCUCAUUUUCAAAUUUUUGUUUUCUCUUCUUUUCUUUGUAACAAGUCGAGAAGAAGGGGUUUCAUCAGAGUUGUUAAGGAGGGUUGAAAAAGCGAAAGAUUUUUUAGAGAUUUCGAUUGUACUUUAAGUAGGAAGAAGCGAAAGGCGGAAACUGAGGACAUGGAGAUCAAUCCGAAUAAGGACAAUGCUGCAACAAGGCGGAACUUCUACAAAGCACAGUAUAAACCAUAUCGGGCUUCACACAAGGAAAUGACUGACAAAGAGGCAAUGGAGAAUUUGCAAAAAUAAUUUACUGCCAGUUGACGAGAAGGAACGAUGGAGAGGGGAUGACCCCUUACAGAAGGAAGACUUAACUAAAAAGGAUAUGGGUUCGAAGGAGAAGACGGUCAAAGGUGGGGAGGAGAAAGAUAAACAUUCUGAAGUCGGCGAGGAGGAGGAAGGGACGUUGGAGGUGGAGGAGUCACAUCGGGUUUAUGGUAUAUGCUCAUUUGAAAGGAUAUUGCACAUUUUGAUUGUUUGCACUUACAUAUUAUUGAUUGUUUUGCUCAAACCCUCAACCAUGAAGAGAGGAAGAAGGAAGGGGCAGGAUCAGGCCGAGUCUGGUUUAUGCCCGCCUAUAUUUUGGUAUGAAUUCAAUUAAAGAUUAUGUAUUGACUAGUGUUGCAUAUUGUACUUCUAUGUUUGAUCAUUUUUGUUGCAAAUAAGAGAGGAAAUUGGUGUUGUUGUUCUAUAGAAGGAGCAGCUAGGCACUUCAAUGACUACGAAAAGGAUUGCCAAAGAACAAGAGUGGUCGAAGCUCUACUAUGAUGAAGAUUUUAACUGAUGCCAUAAGAUGCUUGUUCCACUUCAGCAAACAGAAUGAUUGGUUUUUAGCCCAUAUCAAUAUGCAAAAUGCGAUAGUCAAUUUGAUGGAUUCUUUGGGAAGUGCAAUGCACAAGGCCUCUUGACAUCGGGUUUGCACUGAAAUGGUAAGUGUGUUUCGACAUUAAAAUAAUUGAACAUGCGUAGGUGUAAAUCAUAUCAUCUUAUAAAUGUAAAAUUUAUGUGUAAUUUAAGAAUCUGGACUAGUUAUUUGCUCUAUCCAAGCCUAAAAAUUUAAAAUUUAAGAAUUUUAUUAUUACCACAAGCAAUGGGAACUUGCCCUAACAACAGAACAGGUUUGACUGGGGGGUGUACUUGUUGAAGUACAUGGAGUGUGUCUUUAUGGGCAAGGACCAUGUGGAUGAGGUAAAUCAUCUGCCUUUGUUUUGAUUUAUCGAGGCGGU